rnacentral:lncRNA from 1 species
AUGUAUAUAUGUAAAUAUAAAAUCGCAUUUAACAAUAUUUAAUUCCUUCUCAUAUAUAACCGAAGAAUUUAAUUCCUUCCUAUCCGAAAUUAUUACACACUAACAUAUAUACAUGUAUAAUAUAUAAAAUUAUGCCAUAGUAAAAACAAUUGAUAUUCAAAUCAUAACAAAUCAAUAAUCUAUUCUACAUGCAACUAAAAACAAUUUUAACAACUGAAAUUUAUAAUUUAAAAGAUCAAACACACAUUAAACACAUCCACCAAUCAAGAACUACCAAGAACACAAAGAACACA